rnacentral:rRNA from 1 species
GUGAACAAUUAAACGGCCGCGGUACCCUAACCGUGCAAAGGUAGCAUAAUCAUUUGUCUACUAAUUAUAGACCUGUAUGAAAGGCAAAAUGAGGGUCUAACUGUCUCUUAUAGUCAAUCCAUUAAACUGAUCUACUAGUAAAAAAGCUAGAAUUACACCAUAAGACCAGAAGACCCUGUGAAGCUUAAACUAAACUAUUAAACCCGAUAAUAACUACUUUCGGUUGGGGCGACCUUGGAAUAAAAAAGAACUUCCAAACAAUAUAUAUUUAUAUACUAUAGGCCCACAAGCCAACUUAAGACCCAGCAAAGCUGAAAAUUGAAAUAAGUUACUCCAGGGAUAACAGCGCAAUCCUCUUCAAGAGCCCAUAUCAAAAAGAGGGUUUACGACCUCGAUGUUGGAUCAGGACAUCCUAUUGGUGCAGAAGCUAUUAAGGGUUCGUUUGUUCAACGAUUAAUAGUCCUACGUGAUCUGAGUUCAGACCGGA